GUCUACGGCCACACCACCCCGAACGCGCCCCAUCUCGUCUGAUCUCGGAAGCUAAGCAGGGUCGGGCCUGGGAAUACCGGGUGCCGUAGGCU
rnacentral:rRNA from 1 species